UGUGUGUGUGUGUGUGUGUGUGUUUAGGGUUAUUUGAGUCUUAUUUUCGGCCUCUCUCUCACUCACACUAAAUUCUCUUCUCUCAGCCUCUUUUCUUCUGUCUCUGUGCUGUAGGUGCUCCUCACAACAUCGGUGACGACUCCUCUGCUGUCUUCUUCUUCCUUCUCUCAUCACCGUUGAUAUCCUUCAUUCUCCGUUGUCUUCGGCGAGAGAGAGUUGUUAGGGUUUCUAAUCUCGCCGAUCUCCCUCCUAAAGAACAUCACAGCGACUCCGACGGCUUUCCUUUCGUUGCCGUCAACAUCAUCUUACAAGUUGAUUAUGAGGAUUGGAUCAUGGAGAUGGAAGGAGAGAGAGAAAAUGAAGGUUGGCUAGUGAGAGAUCUCAUAUCUGUGUUGAUCUGUCGUGUAUGAUGCUGUUGGUCUUUAUUUUUUGUGUUGUGUUGAUCUUCGUUUCUCCAUCUGUCUUCAUUUUUUUUUGGGUAGUUGAUUUGUUAUAUAUGAUGUUGUUUAUGAUUUUGUUGA